GUAUCCAUUUUUGGUAUUGCUAUUGAUAGUAAUAAGUUUCAGAAAUGUCUCAUCAGAAAGGCCAUAAAGGGCAUCAGCAGCAGCAGCGAGGUUUAUCACGAGAGCAGUUAACUCAACUUCUACAUACAGCGCAACAGCUUUCUAGGGCUGACGAUGGGAAUGAGUUCUUUUGGACUAUUAUCAUAAAUACACUCAAUUUCCUUAUAGCGCAUCAUCAAGGUUGAUAGGGACAUGGAGUUGGACACUGAUGAAUGUUUCAAAAAAUUGCAACCGACCUUGACCUUUUCUCUACCCAGAACUUUCAUUGCUUCCUAUUAUAUCUGUUUAUGAUUGAAUUUCGGGGUUUGAUACCUCAAAAUAAAUUAGAAUAGUACAAAAUGAA